GAGCUUGCUCUUAUGAGUUAGUGGCGCACGGGUGAGUAAUGUAUAGUUAAUCUGCCCUAUGCUGGAGGACAACAGUUAGAAAUGACUGCUAAUACUCCAUACUCCUUCUUAACACAAGUUAAGUUGGGAAAGUUUUUUCGGCAUAGGAUGAGACUAUAUUGUAUCAGCUAGUUGGUGAGGUAAUGGCUCACCAAGGCUAUGACGCAUAACUGGUCUGAGAGGAUGAUCAGUCACACUGGAACUGAGACAC
rnacentral:rRNA from 1 species